rnacentral:rRNA from 1 species
CACCGGGGGCCUACGGGAGGCAGCAGUGGGGAAUAUUGCACAAUGGGCGAAAGCCUGAUGCAGCAACGCCGCGUGAAUGAUGAAGGCCUUCGGGUCGUAAAAUUCUGUCCUUAAGGAAGAUAAUGACGGUACUUAAGGAGGAAGCCCCGGCUAACUACGUGCCAGCAGCCGCGGUAAUACGUAGGGGGCUAGCGUUAUCCGGAUUUACUGGGCGUAAAGGGUGCGUAGGUGGUUUUUCAAGUCAGAGGUUAAAGGCUACGGCUCAACCGUAGUAAGCCUUUGAAACUGGAAAACUUGAGUGCAGGAGAGGAAAGUGGAAUUCCCAGUGUAGCGGUGAAAUGCGUAGAUAUUGGGAGGAACACCAGUAGCGAAGGCGGCUUUCUGGACUGUAACUGACACUGAGGCACGAAAGCGUGGGUAGCAAACAGGAUUAGAUACCCUGGUAGUCCACGCUGUAAACGAUGAGUACUAGGUGUCGGGGGUUACCCCCCUCGGUGCCGCAGCUAACGCAUUAAGUACUCCGCCUGGGGAGUACGCACGCAAGUGUGAAACUCAAAGG